CUUCAUUUCCCUUGGUUGUCCUACCCAUAAACUCACCUGUGUUAGGAAGGGACUAAGGCUCUGUUAGACCUUCCCCUGCUCUCCAGGUGUCACCAAUUAGCAAAGGCCUUAAAAGUGAGAGUAGGAGGGAAGCUCUGCCUUUCACUGAUUGCAGGCUUCAGAGAUGGAGACUCUGCUGCAAGAGCUCAGCUCAGCUUCCAAGCUCUUAACUGACUUUAAGGAGAUGUAUGAGUAUGAGACCCGUUUAAAAACCUUCACCAAGUGGCCCUUCCAGGAAAACUGCAAGUGCACUCCAGAGAAUAUGGCAAAGGCUGGCUUCAUCCACUGUCCAACUGCAAAUGAACCAGAUGUGGCAAAAUGUUUCUUUUGCUUGUUAGAACUGGUGGGCUGGGAGCCAAAUGAUGACCCAUGGGAGGAACACAGCAAGCGUCACACCUGUGACUUUUUAUCCCUUCCCAAGCACUUUGAUGAGCUGACAAUGGAGGAGUACUACAUGCUGGAGAUGGCACGGCUGAGGACCUUCAUUUGCAAAGUUGGCAGCCGCGCCAUAAGCUCUUUUCAAGAAGAGGUGGCAGCGACGAGGCAGAGGCUGGUGAAUUACUUUGGCUCCAGACCCUCGCUCCCGGCACCGCUGCCUCUCGGGGAUGAGCCUUCAGCCCAGCAGCCUGGAGAAUCUGCUGCCGCCAAAAGCAGCCCAGCACAAGUGAGCUGUGACUCUGGCUCUAAAAGUGACUCUUGAUUUCCUCUCUUUGUCUGAGUGUGAUUGCAAAGCUGAACAGGUGGGUGAGGGAGUGUAUGAUGUAGAGAACUGUUCCUGACUGGGAGGAGUGAGUACAGACAGGUAUGGCCUGUCUCUCACAGUGUGCUUUCUUAGUAUGGCUGGGACAGGAGCUAAGAGCAGUUCCACUACCCUGACAGUGUAUGGAAAAUGUCUAAGCAAAUACUUCUAUUCUGGUUUUUAGCAAGCUGACUUUUUUGUUUUGAAUAAAGAUUCACAACUGUGAGUACUUUCUGUGAUCUGUGUUAAAACCUUAUGCCUAGAUUCAAAUCACAACAGCUCUGCUUCAAAACACUUUCCAGGGAACUAAAUGGAUCUGUGUGUCUGCAACAAUUGCUUAGGCACCUGCAUUACUACUCUCCUGCUUACCACUAAGUUGUCUUUCUAGAUCAGACCAAACUGACACAGACAGCCACAUCCAGCACAAAUAGCAGGUGUACUGAAUAAGGGUAGACACAAGGUGUGUAAGACAGUUUCAAGAAAGAGCUCUGGAUAUUUUGGUGUGCAACUGAAUCAACAAAAGCUAAAGUCCCACUAUUCUGUUUUUAAAAGUUUUUCAUUACAAUUUCAAACUUCCUGAAGUUCUUUAAAAAAAUCUUAUUAAUUUCUAUUUUCCUCUUUGAGAGAUUGUUGUAGAAUACAAGUGCAUGCAUACUUGCAAAUAUUUUUGGUUUUUAAGAUGCAGACAGACCCUUCUCAGUAAGGUGAAAGUUUUGUACAUUACAUUGUCAGGUCUCAGGCAGUGAACGAACAGCAGCUUUUGAAACUUUUGACUUGUCUUUCCACUCUGCAAGAAAAUCUUCAUGCUGGGGAUCCUAAAAACAUAUUUCAACAUUCUUCAAAGCAUUUAUGAAUUCCCUAUCUUGAGAGUGAUCAUUUCCCAAAGGACUUCAACUUGCUGUAUUUAUUUUUAUGCCCAAAGAAAGGCCAAGAAUGAAAAUCAGGCUAUUUCCUGCAAUGUGGUUAAGUGUUUAGUUCCUUUAAUGUCUCUCAUACUCAUUUAUGAGCAUUUCCAACCAAAAAUCCAUUCUCACCCUCUCUGCGUACUUUAUGCUAUUUCUUUAAUUAAAAAGUAUUUCUAAAGCCUGGAUAUUUACAAUGAAAAAAUACACAAUCUUUUUUUUUUUUUUUUAGAGAGUCUAAGAAUUCCUGGGUCAUUUCACUGAAUAUUGGUGAUAAUUUUUCUUACUGUUAAUUUAAAUGAUGAAAAUCUAACUGGCAAAAGUGUUACCUGGACAUGGAAGUGGUUAUGGUCAGAUAUGAAGAG